AUGCUGGUUAAAUUGAAGGAUGGGCGGUGGGAAGUAACCCACUUUGUGCAUGAUCAUAAUCAUCCUUUGGUCACCAAGCCUUCGCUGUCCAAAUACUUGCGAUCUCACAUGGGUAUACCACUGGAGGAAAAGAGGUUCCUAGAGAUACUCUACAACUGCAACCUGACUUCAGGCCGUAUGAUGCAUACCAUGUCAGAAUUUUAUGGCUUGGAGCUAAAUGUACCGUAUGGACCUAAAGCAAUAACAAACCUAUGUGCUGGCUUCUCCAAGAACUCAAUGAAAGAGGGGGACAUUAUUGAGACAAUUGAACAUUUUAAAGACUUGCAAAAAGAUGAUCAUGAUUUUUUCUAUAAGAUAAAAUAUGAUCUCGAAGGGAGGGCAGAAAACAUUUUUUGGGUGGAUGGCUUGGCACGGAAAGCUUAUACAGAGGCAUAUCAUGAUUGUGUCUCCUUUGACACAACACAUGACCAAUAUGUACAACAUGCCUUUUGCUCCAUUCAUUGGGAUCAACCGUCAUGGGAAAUCUUUCAUGUUGGGUUGCGCGUUUGUGAGGCAAGAAAUGAAGACCAUCUUUGA
rnacentral:rRNA from 1 species